rnacentral:lncRNA from 1 species
NNNNNNNNNNNNNNNNNNNNNNNNNNNNNNNNNNNNNNNNNNNNNNNNCGGGGGGGUCUCGUGGGGCUCCAGGGGGAGCGCUUCGAUCUCGAGGACGAAGAGCUCUGGCGGGGGGCUCUGCUCGUCCCCUUCCUUCGGCCUCGGGGCCUCCUCUUCCUCAGCCGGGGGGGGAUCUGGGGGGACAAGGGGUCAUGGCCACGUCCCUAGAUCCUUGUCCCCAUGUCCCCAGCCCCACGUCCCCCGCUGCCACCUACCCUGCACGGCGGCCACUUCGUCCUCGGCCUUCGCGGUGCUGUUGGUCGUCUCCUCCUCCUCCUCCUCCUCCUCUUCUUCCUCCUCCUCUUCCUCCUCUUUUGCCGGUGCGGCGUCAGAGUCGUCCUCUUCCUCCUCUUCUUCCUCCUCUUCUUCUUCCUCUUCUUCUUCCUCCUCCUCCGACUCCUCCUCGUCGGAUUCCUCCCCCUCCUCCUCCUCUUCCUCCUCCUCCUCUUCCUCGGGGCUCUUCCUGGUGCUGCCCCGUGGGCUCUGUGGGGUGGGAAGAGGGGGUCGUCCCCGUCCCCACCUCAUCUCCAUCCCGUGCACCUCCAUCCCUAUCCCACCCCCCUCCCAACCCCAAAUUCCCAUUCCCCAUCCCAUUUUAAUCCCAAUUCUCCACUCCCAUUUCUCAUCCCCAUUCCUCGUCCCAUUCCUCCUCUCCCAUUCCCCAACCCCAUCCAAUUUCCCAUUUCCCAUCCCAUUUUCUCAUCCCCAUCCCGUUCCCCAACCCCAUCCCCCAUCCCAUUUCCAAUCCCUAUCCCAUUUCCCACCCCAUCCCCCCAUUUCCAUCCCAUUUCUCACUCCAUUUCCCAUCCCAUUCCCCAGUGCCCAUCCCCACACCAUUCCCCAUCCCCAUUCCCCAUUUCCAUCCAACUACCCACCCCACUUCCCAUCUCCAUUCAAUUUCCCAUCCCGUUUCCAAUCCCCAUCCCACUCCCCAUCCUCCAUCCCCACCCCAUUCCCCAUCCCCAUCCCAUUUCCCAUCCCGUUCCCCAACCCCACCCCAUUCCCUGUCCCCCAUCCCAUUUCCAAUCCCCAACCAA